rnacentral:rRNA from 1 species
GACAGAGGUCCCGAGCGUUAGGCGGAAUCACUGGGCUUAAAGCGUGUGUAGGCGGAUCGUUAAGUACCUUGUGAAAUCCCACGGCUUAACCGUGGAACUGCUUGGUAUACUGGCGAUCUUGAGCCACUUAGGGGCUACCGGAACAAAUGGUGGAGCGGUGAAAUGCGUAGAUAUCAUUUGGAACGCCAAUGGUGAAAACAGGUAGCUGGGAGUGUGCUACGCUGAGACACGAAAGCCAGGGGAGCAAACGGG